rnacentral:misc_RNA from 1 species
AUUAUUUCAUGUAGAAAAAAAAAAUUAAAUCCAAGAACAUUUUGAUUCAAGAUUCAAGCUAUCACAAGAAAAUAACUGAAGUAAACUGUACAAUUCACUAACAAAUGUACAAACCGAGUCAACAUAAGAAAAAUGCAAUGACUUCAAACCAUUAUAAAUAAGUGCCUAAUCAGUCUUCCUCUUCUUCACCAUCUUCAGGCAGCCCCAUGUCAUCUCCGAUACCUUCAAGCAGUUUAUCUACGUCCUCCCCUAGCUCCAACAGCCUUGCAGUCAGCUUUUCCACCCUACUCUGUUCUUGCCCUAGGCACACUAGCAAAUCGUUCAGUUCUGCUUCACUCUCCUUCUGGGCUUCUUCCCUAGCUUCUUCCUUUAUUGCCUCAAUAUCUGGAACUGUUGAUGCUCCACCAUCCUUCAAAGCUUUCACCUCUUUUUCUAGAUGGAAGUUGGCCUGUUCAAG